GAACGGUACUGGUGACGAUAGGAAUAUGACGGAGACUACCAACCAUCAGAUAAUACUUGGAAAUGGAUGUUAUUCCAAUUACAUACAUGUUGAAACUCAAAUUCAAGGUCUUUGCAUGGAGUCAACAUUGAGCAACAGAAGUCCUGAGCUCAGUAAAGGUGAACCUUUUCAGCGGAG